CGCUGGCGGCGUGCCUAAUACAUGCAAGUCGAGCGAAUGAUUAGAGAAGCUUGCUUCUCUCUGAUUUAGCGGCGGACGGGUGAGUAACACGUGGGUAACCUACCCUAUAGACUGGGAUAACUUCGGGAAACCGGAGCUAAUACCGGAUAAUACUUCGAAACACAUGUUUUUGAAGUUGAAAGAUGGUUUCGGCUAUCACUAUAGGAUGGACCCGCGGCGCAUUAGCUAGUUGGUGAGGUAACGGCUCACCAAGGCAACGAUGCGUAGCCGACCUGAGAGGGUGAUCGGCCACACUGGGACUGAGACACGGCCCAGACUCCUACGGGAGGCAGCAGUAGGGAAUCUUCCACAAUGGACGAAAGUCUGAUGGAGCAACGCCGCCGUGAGUGAAGAAGGAUUUCGGUUCGUAAAACUCUGUUGCAAGGGAAGAACAAGUAGCGUAGUAACUGGCGCUACCUUGACGGUACCUUGUUAGAAAGCCACGGCUAACUACGUGCCAGCCGCCGC
rnacentral:rRNA from 1 species